rnacentral:misc_RNA from 1 species
CCCAACUAUCCCUAUUAAUCAUUACGUCGAUCCUAGAAACCAACAAAAUAGAAUCAAACGUCCUAUUUCAUUAUUCCAUGCUAAUGUAUUCAAGCGUGAGCCUGCUUUAAACACUCUAAUUUUUUCAAAGUAACAGUCCUGAUUCCCUAUGACACCAAAUUAAUGACAUCAAAGUUCGUCAGAAGGGAGAAAUCAAAGAUACCAGUGCAUACCAAGGCAUGACCGGCAUAUUGAUCCCGAAAUUCAACUACGAGCUUUUUAACUGCAACAACUUUAAUAUACGCUAUUGGAGCUGGAAUUACCGCGGCUGCUGGCACCAGACUUGCCCUCCAA